rnacentral:rRNA from 1 species
ACGCUCGACACCUACGAGAGGCAGCAGUGGGGAAUAUUGCACAAUGGGGGAAACCCUGAUGCAGCGACGCCGCGUGGAGGAAGAAGGUCUUCGGAUUGUAAACUCCUGUUGUUGGGGAAAAAGAGGAUGGUACCCAACAAGGAAGUGACGGCUAACUACGUGCCAGCAGCCGCGGUAAUCUGAGGCGGGCUGGACAAGGC